GGGACCCAUCUCGAGUUGGAGUCAAGGCUUAGUGCCU
rnacentral:telomerase_RNA from 1 species